rnacentral:snRNA from 1 species
AUACUUACCUGGCAGGGGAGAUACCUUGAUCACAAGGGUGGUUUUCCCAGGGUGAAGCUUAUCCAUUGCACUCCUGGUGUGCUGACUCCUGCAAUUUCCCAAGUGUGAGAAACUUGCCUGCAUAAUUUGUGGUCGUGGGGAACUGCACCUGCGCUCUCCCCU